UUUUUUUUUUUUUUUUUGCUGCACCAAAUUUAAGAACGCCCUUUCAGGCAAGCAGUGGUCUCUAGCUGUUAAAACAUUUCCUUAGUGGAUCACAAUAGCUUCUAAAACUGCCUUUCUAGUAAAGGCCAUCAGAGAGGUAAUACUAAACUGUGCAUUUGCCAAAUAAGAAUAUGAAUUGUAUAAAAGCUCAUAUUCCAAUCCUAGAUCAAAUGGCAAAAGUUCUACAAAGUUGGUUUCCAUGUUUGUAUAAAAGCUCUGACUGAUUUUAUGUAUUUUGCUAUGAAAUUACCUUUGGGUCUUAUAAUCAGUAUACCUCUACUCAGGAAUGUGCAAAUGAUUUUAUACAGCACGACGCUAGUACCGCUCUGUACGACAGUAAGGUUUUUUUUUUUUUCUUCUUUUCUAAAUGGAAAGAAAAUAUCCCUAGUCAGAAAUAAACUGACAAAUUUACAUUCUCCUCUCUUAAAAAAGUAAAUAAAAUAACAUUAUUCAAAAUGUGAAUUAGCUAUAGACAUACAAUACAAUUACAUAGAUACAUAUCAAUACAGCACAUUCAAUCUGCCAAAAAAUUAAUGAUUACAAAGCCAGUAUGGAUGCUGCAAUAUCAAGAGAGAUGUAUGUACAAUGAUUAGAGCAUUUGUAAUUGCACUAUACCUACAGGCAGUCUGCUUGUUACAUUACAGGUGCUUUCUGAGCAAGGGAAAAAAAGUAACCUGUGUUGUUUGAGGCUGGGAGAAUCAAGAAUGAGAAUAUUUCAUUACUGUUUGGUGGCUUUGGUACUCAUCUAACAGGCCGUUAGUUUUCUCCCUCCCCCUUUGUUGUUCCAAAAGAGUGAUUUAUAUGGAAGUUUAGACUAGUGCCAAAUACCACUAUAGUUAAAAUGAGACCAGUCUCAUGGCCUAAUUCUAACGUCCCAGCAGCUUUAAACAAUCGUGAUUUAUUUUCUUAAAUUUCAACUCAAGCUGCUUGACAGAAGCUCGUCAAUACGUGUGCUGUAUUUUUUUGCAUUUGCUGAAAAAUUGCACAUAUAGAAUUCCAAACAUUUCUCCUAGUAGGUUCAGUUACACAAAUACAUGUUCUAUAGAACACUGAGAGGUUACUUUUGAGUUAAGUCCACAAAUCUUCUGUAAGUUCAACCUAAUCAGUUACCAGUUCAAGAAGAUCUUGAAGGUGGUUAACCAGCAGGAACUUCAGAUUUUGGAAAUUAAAGGUGUCAGAAUAAUACUAUCAACCAAUGUUCCUGGCAGACUUAAUUGAACUUAAAGAACCAUUGAGAGUAAAACUGGUUUCAAAUAAAGAGACAUAAACAGAUUUCCUGUUAAACCACACAGGAUACUUUUUACAUUGCCGGUUUGGACACUGAACAUGGGACGUGAACACUAACAAUGUCAUCUUAAGGACAAAUAAAAGAAUGGACCGUGAGAAUCAAAUUUACAGUUACCAACUGUUUGGCAAUUGGCAUUUCUGGUUCAUUCUCAGCCAGUCAUUUUAGGCUUCACAGUCUUACUCUCUUACAUUUUAAGAUACCAGCUUUUAUUUUUUGAGUUCUUAUUCAUUUUAUUUGAAAAAAAGCCAGCUUUGGCAACACAUUCCCAUAAUAAAAGUCAUUUUAAAAUUGUGGCCCCCAAACACUAAGAAAAAAAAGGAAGGAAAAGCUUAAACAACAACAACAAAAAAAUUAAGAACAACCUAUAAAAAGGUUCUGGGUAGCAGCCAUUAGGGUAAUGUAGUGUCUGUUGGCAUCUUUUUUGGCAUCUGCAAUUGAAAGAGAGGGUGAAAAAAAGAAAAAGAAGCAAAGAAGGGAGGAAAGACAAUGGCACGUAGCAUUUCAAAAGAAAGGACUCCUGUGUGUCUUUGAUCCUGCCUUCUGCACAUUUCUCUGAGCAAUCAAGCUAUGGCUGAAGGUAAACAUCUAAAAGAAAUGACACUUACUGUUAGACGGGCAUCCAUUGUCCCAGUCCAAAGUGAGACAAGACAGUACAUUCUAUUAAAAAAGAAACUAUGUAUGUAUACAGAGCAACACAUUUAAAACCA
rnacentral:lncRNA from 1 species